ACUUGGUAUUGUUGCUAC
rnacentral:misc_RNA from 1 species